GAUGAACGCUGGCGGCGUGCCUAAUACAUGCAAGUCGAGCGAACAGACGAGGAGCUUGCUCCUCUGACGUUAGCGGCGGACGGGUGAGUAACACGUGGAUAACCUACCUAUAAGACUGGGAUAACUUCGGGAAACCGGAGCUAAUACCGGAUAAUAUAUUGAACCGCAUGGUUCAAUAGUGAAAGACGGUUUUGCUGUCACUUAUAGAUGGAUCCGCGCCGCAUUAGCUAGUUGGUAAGGUAACGGCUUACCAAGGCAACGAUGCGUAGCCGACCUGAGAGGGUGAUCGGCCACACUGGAACUGAGACACGGUCCAGACUCCUACGGGAGGCAGCAGCAGGGAAUCUUCCGCAAUGGGCGAAAGCCUGACGGAGCAACGCCGCGUGAGUGAUGGAGGUCUUCGGAUCGUAAAACUCUGUUAUUAGGGAAGAACAAAUGUGUAAGUAACUAUGCACGUCUUGACGGUACCUAAUCAGAAAGCCACGGCUAACUACGUG
rnacentral:rRNA from 1 species